CUGUCAGUACGAUCCUGAGUGUCUUCACCACUUACAGCACUUAGGAGAACACUCUCAGGAGUUUGAAUAUUAUCUAGAUCCUCUAUAUCUAAGACCAUCUGCUGAGAUUCUUCUUUAGCAGCUUCAGUUUUUUCCUCUGCCAUUUUCAAAUAUGCCCUAACAACAUCCUCCAGAGAUUUUAUGUUCACCUGUUGACAAAUGUUCUUAUACUGGUAUAACCC
rnacentral:lncRNA from 1 species